GGUUAACGCUGGCGGCGUGCCUAACACAUGCAAGUCGAACGGUUCUAAGCGCGAGCUUAGGAUAGUGGCGAACGGGUGAGUAAAAGGUAGGAAUCUACCCCUUGGACGGAGAUAGCUACUGGAAACGGUAGGUAAACUUCGAUAAGCCCGAGAGGGGAAAGUGGUGAGACAGCCGAGGGAUGAGCCUACUCUCCAUCAGGUAGUUGGUGAGAUAAAAGCUUACCAAGCCGAUGACGGAUAACCGGUGUGAGAGCAUGAACGGUCACAAGGGCACUGAGAGACGGGCCCUACUCCUACGGGAGGCAGCAGUGGGGAAUCUUGGACAAUGGGCGAAAGCCUGAUCCAGCGACGCCGCGUGGAGGAAGAAGGUCCUUCGGGAUGUAAACUUCUGAACUAGCCGAAUAAAAGGACCUGUGGACGACACAGGAGAAGAAAGUAGGCUAGGAAAAGUCCCGGCUAACUACGUGGCCAGCAGCCGCGGUAACUAGUACUCUAU
rnacentral:rRNA from 1 species